rnacentral:tRNA from 1 species
GGAGAGGUGCCCGAGUGGCUGAAGGGGCACGCCUGGAAAGCGUGUGUGCCGUAACCCGGUACCGUGGGUUCGAAUCCCACCCUCUCCG